GGGAGUUGGGACUGUUUAGCUUGAGGAAGAGAAGGCUCCAGGAAGAACUUAUUGCGAUCUUCCAGUACUUGAAAGGAACUUACAAGCGGGAAGGGCACCAACUUUUUACAAAGAUAGUGACAAGCACAGCAAAUGUUGGACUGUGGGCAACAUUUUCCUAGCAACAGUGCAGUCACAGCAGCUGUGAAACAGUGGGUCACCUCCACUACUGCAGUUUUUUAUGUGCAUGGUAUACAGGCUCCUGUUCAUUGCUUGUGAAAAUGCACACCUAAUGAUGGCUGUAACUAUGUUUAAAAAAAAAAAAAGUGUUUUGUAGCUGAGAAUGUGCUCUAUUGAAUAGUGUUAUUGUGCUCUUUGUAUCCAUUGUACUCUCCAUGGAAACAAAAGGGACGCGUUACUUUUGGAGCACCUUAUGUACUUAAGAGUGGGAUUCACAAGGAGCAGUGAUUCACCUCCAUUUUGGAAAUCCAAAGAUGAGUCAAAGAUAAGUCAAAUUUUGUCAGAUCUAUGAUAGCCUCUUUGUUUACCACCUUUCCAUCAAAAAGUAUUGUUAUUAUCAUUUCAGAAAAGCAAAUUUGUUAAAAAGCAAGCUCUUCCAGCAGAUUCUCCUUAUGGUGUGAUCUUGCAACAAUAAACCCUCAUACAAGAUUAACUAUAAUAGCUACUAAUGUAAAUGCCAAUGCAUUUGUAGUUUCUCAGGGUCUUUUUCCUGAGCUGUACUUCUACAUGUUACAAUUCUGAAUGCACACCUUAGAUAUCAUGGGGACCUUCAAUCCUCAAAAUAAAACUAAAUACUUUAUAGGUCCAUUGUUGAGUUACCCAGGGCCCAGAUUACAGCAGCAUCUUCAAAAUCCUUUGGACAAACUGGUGUAGUCAUGUAGUAAGGAACUAAGAAAAAACUUAGCUCAACUAAGCUCAACUGUGAUUCUAGCCAUGCCACUGUCUACCACAUACCUACUUCAGGCAUCAGCUUAGAGAUCUCUGUGCAAUGAUACAUUACUCAGGAUAGAUGUGCUUUGUGACAGCUCAUAGCAUAGAAAGAAACACAUCCCCUGGAGAAUUGUCCUAGGACAGUUUUCUGACAAAUCCUGUCAGCUAGCAGGGCUAUCCUCUUGUUUUAGCACACUCUACAGAGGCUAAAAUGUUUUCUCAGGCUACUGCAUUUGCAUUACCUUACUUUGUAACCUGACAGACAGACGGAGUGCCAGAUUUGGGAAACAUCUUCUAGAAUCUGUAGUGAGGACUACAUUGGUCAUUUUUGUAGAAUUGCUAAUUUAUCUUUGGGAAUUCACUUAGAAUCAAUAUCAACAACACAUCUAAAGUGGUUUCAAAGUGACUGUAAUUCUGCAGUUUUGAUUCUUCAGUCUUUGUGUGCAAGUAUCUCCAAGCCACUUUCUCCCUGCUAUAUGCUCUUUAACAACUAAGUUUCGGUCUUUUUAUGGAAAAAAGUGGCUGUUAGGAUGCAGUUCUACCUUUCUUUAAUUUUCUUUUAGUUGUAUAGGGAUAAAGGGCACACUUUCUGCUCAACACCAACUACUAAACAAAAAACAUUAGGCCUCUGACACAUACACAUGCACCACAGGCAGGAUCUAUAGCAGAGGUGAGGAACUGUCUUUCUUACAGCAGAGCCUCACCUUCUGUGGGUGCUGGUAAAUCUCUGGUAAAUCCAGAGAAGGCAUAUCCCUAUAUUUUGUGUAUAUGUGUCAGGGGAGUAAGUUCACUGACAUUGGACUUGAUUGAAAAUGAAAGGAAUUUCAGGAAAGUAUUUAUUCAGUCAUUUUUCCCUUUGUUAAUUUCCCUUCAAUUGCAAGUAAAACUAUUCAUAAAAUAAUCAGAAAUAGCCUUUGCAACACUUUACAGCUGAAUUUUGCUACUCCUUUUGUUCAGUAAUAUGAAUUUGUUAAUUCGAGGAAAUUCUGUCACCGCAACUUUUCCUCCUUAACAGACUGAAGAUAUAUCUAACUGAUAGCUACAAACUUGCACUUGUAUUCAUGCACAUGCAACUUGACCAUCUGAAGCAAAAACUCUAACACUAUGUGAAAGAACAAGACUGCAGACUAACAGUGUCCAGAGUGAACUCUUUUGAUGCCUAUCUCUGUGAGAAACAGUGAGUUUCCAGGGUGUCCUACAGUGUAAGUGCGUGAUAUCCUUAGAAGUCCUACAUCCCACACUUUGCUAGUACUGUCCACACUGGUGUUCGUCAGUCUACAUUUAUCAAGCCUUGAAGAUGAGAAGAGGAGGAUUGUUUUUAGUUAACUUAUUCACUCUACUGAAGCUCCAAAUGCGGACACAGUACAUCAUCUUUAACUAUAAUACAAUUUUGAGGCUCCUUCUGUAAAAACCUGCUGUUAUUUCACGUAUGUUCAUCCUGCUGAUAAUCAGUGGAUAAACAACUUUCACAACAGAACUGCAACCCUCCUCCCCCACUCCUCCUACCAGACUGACAGUUGACUUGAUGGUUAGCCAUGGACUCAUAGUAGUCUUGGAUAGCCAGUUUCCACAUAGCAGCCUAGCCUCUCUGCUCAAUAUGAACUCUGCCAUUCGUGGAAUGCAGUUCUAAAGAACAGGGCAGGCUUAUCACAUAGGUCUGUGAAGGCCUAUUUCCUCAUGAAGAAGUUUUUGAGCCAGUGCUGGACAUGAAUAACUACAACAUAAUGUGAUUUGAUCCCUCCUGUUCAGUUCCAAAAAACACUAUUAUAUUUUUUUUCAGAAGUUAGCAUAAUUCAUCAUGUCAUCCAAAACUGGUGUGUGUUCUAUUUUGCCACCCUCCAUGUCUUUUAGCAUUGGAUUUCCUCCCCUGAGAACUGUCUCUCCAUACUGCUUCCAUAGUUUGUGAACACCUCAGAUGAGGUUAAAAGGAAUUGCCCUGCAAGAGCAAUAGUAGCUAAAAAAUGAGCAUUGUGACAGGCAUUUAAUGAUGUAUGUGAUUGAGAACUGUAGUAAUUCUGGUUUUAAGCCAGGAAGGAAAAAAUAAAUGUCAUCUAAUAAUUCAAAAUUAUUCACAGAAGAGUUUUGCUUAGUGGUACGGUGAAGAAGACUAGGAUUUGCCAUUUCUUAUUCUAGUAUUUUCUUCACAAAACCCUGUGUAGAUACUGCUAAACAAGCUUGGUGAGAUUUUCAGAAAAGAAUGGAGUUGGAGAAACCAUCACAUGAGAGUAGAGACACUGAGCCACAACAGGAAGAUAUCUAGAGGUGCUUCAACUAUUCAUUUCAGUUUUAAGAGUGUUCUGUUCAGGGAAGCCUUCACAAUGAUCCUGCUUAUAUUGUAAAUAGCUUUUCAAUUACAUCACUUCCGUGUUUUCAGAUUCUUCAAGCUGCCCUACCAUGAUGAUAGAAAGCUUCUGAAGGAAAAAGAUACUGAAAUUCCACAGGAAUUCAUUAUGCCAGAAGAUGGGAACACCGAUCAAUUAGGAAUACAGAAACCUAAAGUCACUUUUGGAGGAAGGAGGAUGAAAGAGGUUCUGUGGCACGGGGAAGGUGAGAGGAGGUCCCUGUGCUUGGCUCCUGCUGCCUCAUCGCUGUUGUAACAAAAUCCCAGCUCUUGGCCCCAGCCCACAGGACUUUGGCUGAGCCACACUGCUCUCUGCCUGCUCCCAAAACGUCACUGCAGUUGAGAAUUCAGCCACCAGCUGUGGAAAAGCUUCAUUCGAUGCACAGUAUGGUAGCUGCUGCCGCUUAGUGGCAUGAGCUACUGAGUGCACAUUUCAUCCACUGUGCUCCCCGUGUUGGCUUACGGCAGGAUACGAACUGAAACCGAAAUCCUGCGUUCCCGAAGUCAAAGCAAACCCAUUUGCUUCACUGAAUCCAGAAUAGCAUUCACAAUGGAUCCCAAUAGCCCCAAAUUCUCAAUGUGGCUCAGUUCACCUAGGAAAGCAAUGGUGACCAUCACAGAUAUGAUCCAGCAGCACAAGAAGCUGUGUUUUGGGAGGCAGUUGUUGAGGCAAUGGGAAGCGUCUGUGAAACACAGGAACCACAACUGCAGAACCAAAUGCCAACUCUUUUUCCAAUGAAAAUUUGCUUUCAGAGUUCAGUGCCCACUAUAAACAUUCUGCUUGCAAGUGAAAAAGAUAAAACUUCUCAAGCUGCCUUUUCAACACAUCUGUAUAUAGCUGUGUUCCCCAUGCAUGACUGCAGAGAGCAGCUCAAUUGGCACAGGCUGCUGAUGGCUGCCUUCAUUCCCAAGUGCUGUUCUACAGCAUGAUAUUGGGGUGAUGUAAUGGACUCGGGCGGGACUGCAGACAGGAGCAGCAGCAUCCACAGUCAUCCAGUGUCUCUGUGAGGAAUGGGAUUUGCUCUGGAAUACAGUGAGAAUACAGCAUCUCAGGGAAAAUGGUAAGGGAUGGAACAGAAAGGUAUGUUAGUGUAUUUUGGAUAGCGUAUUGGAAACCAUAGCUCCAAGCUAGCUCAGUCUUGUAGAAAAGUAAAUCUUUGUUCUCUGCUGACCUAGUUUCUGGAGCACUUGCAGCUUCUGCAGGUCAGUGUAAUAAACACAGAUAUUCUUUGUCAUUAAUAGUAGGCAGCUGUGUGUGCUUGCAGAGCCCUGGUGUUACCGGGCCACAGAAAGGCUGUCAGGCAGUCACCUGCUUAGAAACCUGCUAAGAGUCAGGAAUGUUGUAUUUGUUAGAAGCUUUUAGUGAGUAAGUCCUAGAGGGGCUGCCAUACUUUUCUCCACUGUGGUGUUAUCCAGAAGCUCUGCCCAAACCCAAGUUCCCACCGUGCUCAUUGUUAAACAUCUGCAGCCCAAAGAAUUUAUAAUCCGUUUAAACAAAUCAAAUCCCUACGGGCACAUUCCCAAACGCCAGCUCUCCCGCACCACGCGGUUCUUUUCCGACCAGCUGGCAGCACGCCGGUGCCAUUCCUUCCUUGCGUUUUCCCCUAUAAAAGUAAAAACCCCCGCAGCUCCGCUAUCCCCACGAGACGGUGCUGCGAGGGUCCCUCGGCAGGGCCUUUACACCGGGUCCGGCAGG